GGUGGCCUAGUGGUUAGAGCGUCCGCCUCGAAUGCGGAAGGUUGCAAGUUCGAACCCUGACGUAGUCA